rnacentral:rRNA from 1 species
GACGAACGCUGGCGGCGUGCUUAACACAUGCAAGUCGAACGAUGGAGGAGAGCUUGCUCUCCGGAUGAGUGGCGAACGGGUGAGUAACACGUGACUAACCUGCCCCUUUCUCUGGGAUCACGCUCCGAAAGGAGUGCUAAUACCGGAUACGAACUAUGAACCCAUGUUCGGAGUUGGAAAGUGUUUCGGAAAGGGAUGGAGUCGCGGCCUAUCAGCUUGUUGGUGAGGUAACGGCUCACAAAGGCGACGACGGGUAGCCGGCCUGAGAGGGCGACCGGCCACACUGGGACUGAGACACGGCCCAGACUCCUACGGGAGGCAGCAGUGGGGAAUAUUGCACAAUGGGCGAAAGCCUGAUGCAGCGACGCCGCGUGAGGGAUGAAGGUCUUCGGAUUGUAAACCUCUUUCAGUAGGGACGAAGCGAAAGUGACGGUACCUAAAGAAGAAGCACCGGCUAACUACGUGCCAGCCGCCGCGGUAA